rnacentral:rRNA from 1 species
CGCGCCGGGUACGGGCGGGCUUGAGUGCGGUAGGGGAGACUGGAAUUCCCGGUGUAACGGUGGAAUGUGUAGAUAUCGGGAAGAACACCAAUGGCGAAGGCAGGUCUCUGGGCCGUCACUGACGCUGAGGAGCGAAAGCGUGGGGAGCGAACAGGAUUAGAUACCCUGGUAGUCCACGCCGUAAACGGUGGAUGCUGGAUGUGGGG